AUGGCCGGCCAUGAGGAGCUCUUUCCCGUCGGCUCCACCUUCAGUCCCCAGGAUCACGAGCUCAUCAACCAGUUCCUCCGCCAGAAGAUCGCCGGAGCAGACCGUGGCCGCUUCAGCAGCUUCAUCCACGAAGACGACGUCUACUCCGCGCCACCCGGGGACCUCAUCGAGAACCGUGCCCACGCGCCUGGCUCCGACAAGAACGACGGCAAAGGAGGCGUGUGGUACUUCUUCUCACCGGUCCGUCGUCACCAGACCAAAGGUGGCCGCAGCGGAAGGCGACAGCGCGUCGUCGACGACGACGAGGGUUACAACUGGCACUCGGAGAAGAGCGAGCCCGUGCUAGACACUCAAGGUAAACGGGUCGGCUUCAUCAACAAACUUUCCUUUGGGAUCAAGAGGCCUGGAGCAGCCAGAACCAGGCUUGGGUGGUGCAUGAAGGAGUACGGCCUCGACCACGACGACGAACAAGACGGUGCGGCCGGACUGGUGCUAUGCAAGAUCUACGUCUCUCCCCACAAGAGGGAGAUUACCUACGCGUCCGUAAUCAAUGCCCCCGGUUCCAAGAAGAAGAGGAAGGCGGCCGCCGACGUCCAACAUCCGGAGGCUCCACGUCCCAAAACCCCACGCCGCCAAGAAAUGACCAUCCAAGAAGAAGAAGAAGAAGCCGGCGGGGCGCUUUGGGAGUUCGAGCGUUCGUUCAUGUCCGACCAAGACGAGACGCUGCCCCCCGGAGUAGUGGACGACGACAGCGUGGAUCCAGGCGGCUUUUUCACCGACAUGCUUCCAGAAUUAGGACUGACACUGCAGGGAAAUACUGAGGCGUCCGAGCAUGGCAGCGACUGUACAUUGGAGGAGUCCUUAGCCGGCGAAUAUGGCGACGUCCACCAAGACGUUGAGACGGCGGAGGAGGAUGACGGCAGCUUCCAGUGCACAUGGGAGGAGAUGUUCGGCGACAACAUGGAAGUGGCAUGCCCUGCCCCGCCGACGGCGUCGUUGCACGUGAGGACCGAGUGUGCGUGUGUGUGA
rnacentral:rRNA from 1 species